CCUGGAACUCACUUUGUAGACCUGGCUAGCCUCAAACUCAAAGAGAUCUGCCUGCCUCUGACUCCUGAGUCCUGGGAU
rnacentral:miRNA from 14 species